UACGGAGGGAGCUAGCGUUGUUCGGAAUUACUGGGCGUAAAGCGUACGUAGGCGGCUCAGCAAGUCAGGGGUGAAAUCCCGGGGCUCAACCCCGGAACUGCCCUUGAAACUGCUAAGCUAGAAUCCUGGAGAGGCGAGUGGAAUUCCGAGUGUAGAGGUGAAAUUCGUAGAUAUUCGGAAGAACACCAGUGGCGAAGGCGACUCGCUGGACAGGUAUUGACGCUGAGGUGCGAAAGCGUGGGGAGCAAACAGG
rnacentral:rRNA from 1 species